GGAACGAGCGGCGGAGUGGUGAGUAUCACGUGGGCAACCUGCCUGUAAGAUUGGGACAACUCGCGGAAACGUGAGCUAAUACCGAAUGAAGUCUUUCACCGCCUGGUGAAAGGAUGAAAGAUGGCUCUUGAGCUAUCACUUACAGAUGGGCCCGCGGCGCAUUAGCUAGUUGGGUGGGGUAAAGGCCUACCAAGGCGACGAUGCGUAGCCGACCUGAGAGGGUGAUCGGCCACACUGGGACUGAGACACGGCCCAGACUCCUACGGGAGGCAGCAGUAGGGAAUCUUCCGCAAUGGACGAAAGUCUGACGGAGCAACGCCGCGUGAAGUGAUGAAGGUCUUCGGAUCGUAAAACUCUGUUGUCAGGGAAGAACAAGUUGUGUUCUAACAGGACAUGACCUUGACGGUACCUGACCAGAAAGCCCCGGCUAACUACGUGCCAGCCGCGGC
rnacentral:rRNA from 1 species